CCUACGGGUGGCAGCAGUGAGGAAUAUUGGUCAAUGGUCGGGAGCCUGAACCAGCCAAGCCGCGUGAGGGAUGAAGGUACAGCGUAUUGUAAACCUCUUUUGUCAGGGAAUAAAGGCGGGGACGUGUCCCCGGAUGAGUGUACCUGAAGAAAAAGCAUCGGCUAACUCCGUGCCAGCAGCCGCGGUAAUACGGAGGAUGCGAGCGUUAUCCGGAUUUAUUGGGUUUAAAGGGUGCGCAGAUGGGUUGUUAAGUCAGCGGGGAAAUCCCGGGGCUCAACCCCGAACCCGCGUUUGAAACUGGCAGUCUCGAGUUGGAGAGAGGUAUGCGGAAUGCGCGGUGUAGCGGUGAAAUGCAUAGAUAUCGCGCAGAACUCCGAUUGCGAAGGCAGCAUGCCGGCUCCACACUGACGCUGAGGCACGAAAGCGUGGGUAUCGAACAGGAUUAGAUACCCUUGUAGUC
rnacentral:rRNA from 1 species